rnacentral:rRNA from 1 species
GACGAACGCUGGCGGCGUGCUUAACACAUGCAAGUCGAACGGAAAGGCCCUGCUUUUGUGGGGUGCUCGAGUGGCGAACGGGUGAGUAACAAGUGAGUAACCUGCCCUUGACUUUGGGAUAACUUCAGGAAACUGGGGCUAAUACCGGAUAGGAGCUCCUGCUGCAUGGUGUGGGUUGGACAGUUUCGGCGGAUGUGGCUGGACUCGCGGCUUAUCAGCUUGUUGGUGGGGUAGUGGCUUACCAAGGCUUCGAAGGGUAGCCGGCCUGAGAGGGUGACCGGGCACAUUGGGACUGAGGUACGGCCCAGACUCCUACGGGAGGCAGCAGUGGGGAAUAUUGCACAAUGGGCGGGAGCGUGAUGAAGAAACGUCGCGUGCGGGAUGAAGGCCUUCGGGUUGUAAACCGCUUUCGCCUGUGACGAAGCGUGAGUGACGGUAAUGGGUAAAGAAGCACCGGCUAACUACGUG